rnacentral:rRNA from 1 species
CUUGGUCAUUUAGAGGAAGUAAAAGUCGUAACAAGGUCUCCGUUGGUGAACCAGCGGAGGGAUCAUUACAGAGUUAUCCAACUCCCAAACCCAUGUGAACUUAUCUCUUUGUUGCCUCGGCGCAAGCUACCCGGGACCUCGCGCCCCGGGCGGCCCGCCGGCGGACAAACCAAAACUCUUGUUAUCUUAGUUGAUUAUCUGAGUGUCUUAUUUAAUAAGUCAAAACUUUCAACAACGGAUCUCUUGGUUCUGGCAUCGAUGAAGAACGCAGCGAAAUGCGAUAAGUAAUGUGAAUUGCAGAAUUCAGUGAAUCAUCGAAUCUUUGAACGCACAUUGCGCCCAUUAGUAUUCUAGUGGGCAUGCCUGUUCGAGCGUCAUUUCAACCCCUAAGCACAGCUUAUUGUUGGGAACCUACGGCUUCGUAGUUCCUCAAAGACAUUGGCGGAGUGGCAGUGGUCCUCUGAGCGUAGUAAUCUUUUAUCUCGCUUCUGUUAGGUGCUGCCCCCCCGGCCGUAAAACCCCCAAUUUUUUCUGGUUGACCUCGGAUCAGGUAGGAAUACCCGCUGAACUUAAGCAUAUCAAUAAGCGGAGGA